UACGUAGGGUGCGAGCGUUGUCCGGAAUUAUUGGGCGUAAAGAGCUUGUAGGCGGUUUGUCGCGUCUGCUGUGAAAAUCCGGGGCUCAACCCCGGACUUGCAGUGGGUACGGGCAGACUAGAGUGCGGUAGGGGAGACUGGAAUUCCUGGUGUAGCGGUGAAAUGCGCAGAUAUCAGGAGGAACACCGGUGGCGAAGGCGCUGCUCUCGGGCCGAAACUGACGCUGAGGAGCGAAAGCGUGGGUAGCAAACAGG
rnacentral:rRNA from 1 species